CCUACGGGAGGCAGCAGUGAGGAAUAUUGGUCAAUGGACGAGAGUCUGAACCAGCCAAGUAGCGUGAAGGAUGACUGCCCUAUGGGUUGUAAACUUCUUUUAUACAGGAAUAAAACGAGGCACGUGUGCCUUUUUGCAUGUACUUUAUGAAUAAGGAUCGGCUAAUUCCGUGCCAGCAGCCGCGGUAAUACGGAGGAUCCGAGCGUUAUCCGGAUUUAUUGGGUUUAAAGGGAGCGUAGAUCGGUUGUUAAGUCUGUUGUGAAAUGUCGCGGCUCAACCGUAAAAUUGCAAUGGAUACUGGCUGGCUUGAGUGCAGUUGAGGUAGGCGGAAUUCGUGGUGUAGCGGUGAAAUGCUUAGAUAUCACGAAGAACCCCGAUUGCGAAGGCAGCUUACGAAACUGUGACUGACAUUGAUGCUCGAAGGUGUGGGUAUCGAACAGGAUUAGAUACCCGUGUAGUC
rnacentral:rRNA from 1 species